AAAUGCUUUUUCUGCAUCUAGUAAGAUGAUCAUAUGACUAUUCUUUAUUUUAUUAAUGUGUUGUAUCACAUUUAUUUACAAAUGUUAAACUAUCCUUGCACCCCUGGAAUGAAUCCCAACUGAUCAUGAUAUAUGAUCCUUUUAAUGUAUUCUUGCCUUCAGUUUGCUGGAGUUUGUUGAGGAUUUUUGCACCUAUUUUUUAUAAAAGUACAGUUGAUUUACAAGGUUGUGCCAACUUUAGAUUUUUGCAACUAAGUGUAUCAGGGAUGUUGAUGUAAUUUUCUGGCUUUAUAUUUGUUGUGUCUUAUUUGGGGAUCAGGCUAAUGUCUUGUAAAAUGAGUUUGAAAGUGCCCUUCUCUUCAAUAUUUUGAAAUAAUUAUGAAAAUCAUAAGUGUUUGCCUCUGUAAAUGUUUGGUAGAAUUUACCUGUGAAUUUUCUUUUUCUAAUUCCUUUAUUUGUGCAUUUAGAUUGUUUGAUUUUUUUUGGUUUGUUUGUUUCAUGAAAUAGGCCUCUAUCACAAUGAACUUUCCUCUUAGAACUGUUUCCCCUGCAUCUUAUAGAUUUUGGACAAAUGUCCAUUUUCAUUUGAUUCCAACUACUUAUUUAUUUCCUUUUUGAGAGCAUCAAUGACCCAUUCAUUCCUUAGUUAAUCACCAUGUGUUUAUUUGUUUUUCAUUUUUCUUCUUGUAGUUAAUUUCUAGUUUUAUAAAACUGUGGUUGGAAAAGAUGUUUGAUAUGAUCUUAAUUUGCUUAAAUUUAUCAUCAUUGGUUUUGUGGCCUAACAUAUGAUCUUUUCUGGAGAAUGUGUUCUUUGGGGUGAAAGGGGACUAAGAAUGAAUACUAAUUCUAAUUGCAUACAUCAUAUUUUUUGUUUUUCAGAAAAUUGCUCUGACAAAAAUAUAAUAAUAAUAGUGCUUGGAAUCAUUGCUGCAAUAAUGACACUUUUAUUUUUCAUUUUUUGCAUACUUUAUUUCAAAACAAGAGGUUCUCUCCAUGGACAUUCAGGGGAGAGAGCACUGCUAAAUGGCAAGUAACUAUAAUGUACUCAAUUGUUAUUCUCUCAUCUGUUUCUCGUACCAUUGAAAUUCUCAUGUUGAAACUCUUAAUGAUCAUCUGCCUUAACUCACACAGAGACAUGUUUUUACAUGAUUAUAUGUCUUCAUCUUAUCCUUCCAACUUAGGUUACCUGUCUUCAUGUACUAUUCAGUUUAAGUGGUUAUUGCCUCUUUCAUAUUGUAGUCAUUGCUAAAAAUCAAGGAGACAGAGACUUUCUGUAACUAGUAUUUUUCACCUAGCUAUGUGUCACAGUGGAGUAUCUUAAGGUUCUGUUAUGUCAGUUUUCUCCAACACAGACUCUUUUACAUUUAGAUCAAUCUUCACUUCCAUGUAACACCUCUUCCUAUUACAUUUCUGUUACACAAUUUGGAAUGAUGAGUUUUCCCUCAUAAGAGUUUAUGGGAGAUUUGGAGUUCCCGUCAUUGAGCAGUGGAAAACGAAUCCAACUAGGAGCCAUGAGGUUUCGGGUUCGGUCCCUGCCCUUACUCAGUGGGUUAAUGAUCCGGCAUUGCUGUGAGCUGUGGUGUAGGUUGCAGAUGUGAUUCGGAUCCCGUGUUGCUGUGUCUCU
ensembl:lncRNA